UGCUAAGGCCGAUGGCGACCGGCGCACGGGUGAGUAACGCGUAUCCAACCUGCCUUACACUCUUGGACAGCCUUCUGAAAGGGAGAUUAAUACAAGAUGUUAUCAUGAGUAAGCAUUUUCGCAUGAUUAAAGGUUUACCGGUGUAAGAUGGGGAUGCGUUCCAUUAGAUAGUAGGCGGGGUAACGGCCCACCUAGUCUUCGAUGGAUAGGGGUUCUGAGAGGAAGGUCCCCCACAUUGGAACUGAGACACGGUCCAAACUCCUACGGGAGGCAGCAGUGAGGAAUAUUGGUCAAUGGACGAGAGUCUGAACCAGCCAAGUAGCGUGAAGGAUGAAGGUUCUAUGGAUUGUAAACUUCUUUUAUACGGGAAUAAACGGAUCCACGCGUGGAUUUCUGCAUGUACCGUAUGAAUAAGGAUCGGCUAACUCCGUGCCAGCAGCCGCGGUAAUACGGAGGAUCCGAGCGUUAUCCGGAUUUAUUGGGUUUAAAGGGAGCGUAGAUGGGUUGUUAAGUCAGUUGUGAAAGUUUGCGGCUCAACCGUAAAAUUGCAAUUGAUACUGGCAGUCUUGAGUACAGUUGAGGUAGGCGGAAUUCGUGGUGUAGCGGUGAAAUGCUUAGAUAUCACGAAGAACUCCGAUUGCGAAGGCAGCUUACUAACCCGUAACUGACAUUGAUGCUCGAAAGUGUGGGUAUCAAACAGGAUUAGAUACCCUGGUAGUCCACACGGUAAACGAUGAAUACUCGCUGUAGGCGAUAUACGGUCUGCGGCCAAGCGAAAGCAU
rnacentral:rRNA from 1 species